CCUACGGGCGCAGCAGUGGGGAAUAUUGCACAAUGGGCGCAAGCCUGACGCAGCCAUGCCGCGUGUAUGAAGAAGGCCUUCGGGUUGUAAAGUACUUUCAGCGGGGAGGAAGGCGAUAAGGUUAAUAACCUUGUCGAUUGACGUUACCCGCAGAAGAAGCACCGGCUAACUCCGUGCCAGCAGCCGCGGUAAUACGGAGGGUGCAAGCGUUAAUCGGAAUUAUUGGGCGUAAAGCGCACGCAGGCGGUCUGUCAAGUCGGAUGUGAAAUCCCCGGGCUCAACCUGGGAACUGCAUUCGAAACUGGCAGGCUAGAGUCUUGUAGAGGGGGGUAGAAUUCCAAGUGUAGCGGUGAAAUGCGUAGAGAUCUGGAG
rnacentral:rRNA from 1 species